AUUAGAUACCCGUGUAGUCCCAGCCGUAAACAAUGUGCGUUAGGUGUGUCGGUAACCACGCGUUACUGAUGCGCCGAAGAGAAAUCGUGAAACGCACCACCUGGGAAGUACGGUCGCAAGGCUGAAACUUAAAGGAAUUGGCGGGGGAGCACCACAACAGGUGGAGCCUGCGGUUUAAUUGGAUUCAACGCCGGACAUCUCACCGGAUAAGACAGCUGAAUGAUUGUCAAUCUGAAGGUUUUACAUGACUAGCUGAGAGGAGGUGCAUGGC
rnacentral:rRNA from 1 species